rnacentral:rRNA from 1 species
CAUGGAUAACUGUGGUAAUUCUAGAGCUAAUACAUGCAGCAAGCCUUGACCCUUACGGGCAAGGCGCAGUUAUUAGAUCAAAAACCAAUCGGUUGUGUCUUCGGAUGCAGCCGUUAGCUUGGUGACUCUGAGUAACCACAGCGAACCGUAUGGCCUCGUGCUCGACGGUCUGUCAGUCAAGCAACUGCCUUAUCAGCUUGUUGUUAGGUUAUAUGCCUAACAAGGCUUCAACGGGUAACGAACGAUCGGGGUCGGAUAUCGGAGAGGGAGCUUGAGAAACGGCUACCACUUCCAAGGAAGGCAGCAGGCGCGCAAAUUACCCACUCUCGGCAUGAGGAGGUAGCGAUAAAAUGUAUCGAUGCGGGGCCAUUAGUGCCUUCGUAAUCGGAAUGAGUACACUUUAAAUCCUAUAACGAGGACCUAUUGGAGGGCAAGUCUGGUGCCAGCAGCCGCGGUAAUUCCAGCUCCAAUAGCGUAUAUUAAUGCUGCUGCGGUUAAAAAGCUCGUAGUCGGAUCUGGGUUACCGGCGGGUACCGCAUGUUGCUUUACGCAGCAUGUUGUGUACUAUACGUGUCGCUUCGGCGGCACUGCCAGUGUAGUUGUACCCCAUGUGGGUGCGUUACGCUGGUCGCCGGAACCACGAGCCGGGUUGAGCAGCAUGCUCUUUAUUGAGUGUGUUGUUUACUCGGUGCGUUUACUUUGAAAAAAUUGGAGUGCUCAAAGCAAGCGUACAGUCGCUAUGCGGCUUGAACAGUGGUGCAUGGAAUAAUGGAAUAGGGCCUCGGUUCUAUUUUGUUGGUUUUAAGAUAUCGAGGUAAUGAUUAAGAGGGACAGACGGGGACGUUUGUAUUGCGACGUUAGAGGUGAAAUUCUUGGAUCGUCGCA